AUUGAACGCUGGCGGCAGGCCUAACACAUGCAAGUCGAGCGGAUGAAGGGAGCUUGCUCCUGGAUUCAGCGGCGGACGGGUGAGUAAUGCCUAGGAAUCUGCCUGGUCGUGGGGGAUAACGUCCGGAAACGGGCGCUAAUACCGCAUCCGUCCUGCGGGAGAAAGUGGGGGAUCUUCGGACCUCACGCUAUCAGAUUAGCCUAGGUCGGAUUAGCUAGUUGGUGGGGUAAAGGCCUACCAAGGCGUCGAUCCGUAGCUGGUCUGAGAGGAUGAUCAGUCACACUGGAACUGAGAAACGGUCCAGACUCCUACGGGAGGCAGCAGUGGGGAAUAUUGGACAAUGGGCGAAAGCCUGAUCCAGCCAUGCCGCGUGUGUGAAGAAGGUCUUCGGAUUGUAAAGCACUUUAAGUUGGGAGGAAGGGCAGUAAGUUAAUACCUUGCUGUUUUGACGUUACCAACAGAAUAAGCACCGGCUAACUUCGUG
rnacentral:rRNA from 1 species